rnacentral:rRNA from 1 species
GACGAACGCUGGCGGCGUGCCUAAUACAUGCAAGUCGAGUGAAGUUUUUCUGGUGCUUGCACUAGAAAAACUUAGCGGCGAACGGGUGAGUAACACGUAAAGAACCUGCCUCAUAGACUGGGACAACUAUUGGAAACGAUAGCUAAUACCGGAUAACAGUAUUUCUCGCAUGAGAGAUAUUUAAAAGUUGGUUAUGCUAACACUAUGAGAUGGCUUUGCGGUGCAUUAGCUAGUUGGUGGGGUAAAGGCCCACCAAGGCGACGAUGCAUAGCCGACCUGAGAGGGUGAUCGGCCACACUGGGACUGAGACACGGCCCAGACUCCUACGGGAGGCAGCAGUAGGGAAUCUUCCGCAAUGGGCGAAAGCCUGACGGAGCAACGCCGCGUGAGUGAAGAAGGAUUUCGGUUCGUAAAGCUCUGUUGUUAGGGAAGAAUGGAUAUGUAGUAACUAUACAUGUAAGAGACGGUACCUAACCAGAAAGCCACGGCUAACUACGUG